UGGAGAGAAGGAAUAGGUGACGUUUCGGGUCGAGACACUUCUUCAGACUGAUGUCAGUAGAACACAGAUGAUUCAGGCCCUACACGACACAUUGAAAACAGCCAAGCAGAUAGCAGCCAAUGUUCCUAUUGUGCGGCAACAAACUCUUCUCCACGUUCAGUUGUUUGUGAAGCAGGCUUAAAGUGUGCGAGGAGACCAAAGAUCUCGGAGAAAACCCACGCAGUCACGGGGAGAACCUGCAAACUCCAUACAGACAGCAACCAUAGUCGGGUUCGAACUUGGGUCGCAGGCGCUGUAAGGCUGCAACUCGCCACUGUGCCGCCCCACGUUUCCAUGGUAACUAAUUCCUGCAUUGAAGUAUCCAAUAAAAUUAAUAAAGUCCUCAAAAAAAAUGUAGUUGUGUUUCAGGUUAUGAAAAGCACUGUAACAUAAUAUUCUUAAUAAAACUAAUAAUAAUUUAAAGAAUUGUACUGGCAGGGAUGUUGGUGAAUCUCAGUUGCUAUUAUAAUAUGUUCAUUUGCUGGAUAUAGAUCUGAAUUGCUUGGAGAAUAGAAAUGUGAACUGAAAUGCAUGGCAAAUAAUUCAAAAA